AUUGAACGCUGGCGGCAUGCCUUACACAUGCAAGUCGAACGGCAGCACGGGUGCUUGCACCUGGUGGCGAGUGGCGAACAGGUGAGUAAUACACCGGAACGUACCUUAUCGUGGGGGAUAAAGCAGCGAAAGCUGUGCUAAUACCGCAUACGCACUGAGGGGGAAAGCGGGGGAUGGCAAGACCUCGCGCGAUUAGAGGGGCCGAUGCCUGAUUAGCUUGUUGGUGAGGUAAUGGCUCACCAAGGCGACGAUCAGUAGCUGGUCUGAGAGGAUGAUCACCCACACUGGGACUGAGACACGGCCCAGACUCCUACGGGAGGCAGCAGUUGGGAAUUUUGGACAAUGGGCGCAAGCCUGAUCCAGCCAUGCCGCGUGCGGGAAGAAGGCCUUCGGGUUGUAAACCGCUUUUGUCAGGGAAGAAACGCUCUGGGCUAAUACCUCGGGGUAACGACGGUACCUGAAGAAUAAGCACCGGCUAACUACGUGCCAGCCGCCGCCGUAA
rnacentral:rRNA from 1 species